rnacentral:rRNA from 1 species
UAGAUACCCUGGUAGUCCACGCUGUAAACGAUGAGUGCUAGGUAUCGGAAUAAUUCGGUGCCGCAGUUAACACAUUAAGCACUCCGCCUGGGGAGUACGUGCGCAAGCAUGAAACUCAAAGGAAUUGACGGGGACCCGCACAAGCAGCGGAGCAUGUGGUUUAAUUCGAAGCAACGCGAAGAACCUUACCAGGGCUUGACAUAUAGAGGACCUACUUAGAGAUAAGUACUCUUCUUCGGAAGCCUCUAUA